ACAACGGCCCUUAUAAGGGCCAACACAUAAUUCAAAAAGGAAUUUA
rfam:Beta vulgaris subsp. vulgaris contig157991.1, whole genome shotgun sequence.